UGUCAUUGUAAAGCAUUACCCUUUUAAACUCUAGGAGAAGUUUGAAAAUAUAGCUUCUUUCAACAGGAUUUCAUAGAUACAAUAUGUAAACACAAUAAAAUACAUCUGCAAUUGUAAUACCUGUAGGUAAAUCAACAUUGUUAUACCAGUAGGUAAAUCAACAUUGUUAUACCUGUAGGUAAAUCAACAUUGUUAAACCUGUAGGUAUAUUAACAUUGUUAUACCUGUAGAUAAAUCAACAUUGUUAUACCUGUAGGUAAAUCAACAUUGUUAAACCUGUAGGUAUAUUAACAUUGUUUUACCUGUAGGUAAAUCAACAUUGUUUUACCGGUAGGUAAAUUACAUUGUAGUACCUGUAGGUAAAUCAACAUUGUUAUACCUGUAGGUAAAUUACAUUGUAUUACCUGUAGGUCAAUCAACAUUUUUAUACCAGUCGGUAAAUCAAAAUUGAUAAACCUUUAGGUCAAUUUAUAUUGUAUUACCUGUAGGUAAAUAAACAUUGUUAUACCUGUAGGUAAACUAACAUUGUAUUACCUGUAGGUAAAUUAUAUUGUAGUACCUGUAGGUAAAUUUACACUUAAACAUUUACACUGUAAUAUUGUUAAAUUUGUAGGGAAAUUAUCUAAAGUAAAUUAACAUUGUUACAUUUGCAGGUAAAUUAACAUUGUACUCUGGAAUGUAAAGAGCAAAACAUGGAAAUUAUAUUAAAAUCAACAAGUCAAAAGAUCUUAUUUCUAAAUGUCUAUUUAAAUGCUUUUUUAAACUUUAUAUUUUAAUAAAAAUAUCUUAAUAAUAAACAUUUCAUUUUAAGUCUUAAAUUCAAACAUACUGUAUUCAAGAUAGAUAGUUAAUGCAAGACUCUUUACUUCAUUCCAUUUCUAGGGGAUUUAUUCCCUUUAACAGUGUAUUA